UAAAAACAACCUUAUGUUGAUAUUGACAUUGUAUAUGAAAGAAGGGAAUGUCGUCUGGAUGUGAUGUCUAUCUCUUUGUCUCUUCCAUUAAAUGGCUGCCCUGUGAUUGGUAAUGUUCAGAUAAAGCAGCUGUAUUAUUAAGAUUCCCUUCCUUCAUCACAUGGGGAACGAAAUCUUCAUUAUCUAUUUUUCACAUGCUUGUAAAGAAAGACUUAACAAAACAAAGUUACCGGGUUGUUCUGUUUAACGUUUUAAGUGGUGGGAGUUGCACUGGGGACUCUAUUAUAGCACUUCAACAUCAUUAAAGGGCAGGUUUUCAUGAAAUGUCCUCUUAGAAUUUUUAAAGUGUGCUCUCUAAAACUCAAACUUUUUAAUUCUGUGUAUUUCAUGACUUUUACCCUUAUUAUUGUUUUUUGUUUUAGAUAUUACAUCACUGCUAUGCUGUGAUUAAAUUUCCUGAAGAUAACACUGUUGAUGUUGUGCCUUCCACAUGGCUUGAUAUUACAAAUGAGACUGUAUAUUGUUAUUGGCCACGUAAAAACUUCACAGCCAAGGUAAAACGAAGAGAUGUACCAGACACUAAACUUUGGUCGAAGCAUGUUGCCUCUAUUCUGGGAUAUGCAGACACCUAUGAAGAAGCUAGGUGCAAAGCAAAUCAAGCAACCGUGACUUCAAACUUAGAGAGUGAGGAUGAAGAUCUUGUUCAUAGAAAAAGAAGACCACCAUCACGAUACCGGAGAUCACUG